rfam:Oryza sativa (indica cultivar-group) chromosome 10, whole genome shotgun sequence.
GCGUGCUAGUGAUGAUUAAAGAAGUAGCAAAAAUGGUGAAUCCUGGAUGAAUGUGCUCGCGUGCCGCUGUGUGCGCGCGCGGCCGGAGAUUUUUUCUCUCUCUCUCUGUUCUUCUGUGAGUUCUUC